UUUUAACAUAAACACCGCCCGUCAUGUGUAUUGGGUAUAGCUAAUCCGAUCACAAAUACACCUAAAUAGAUCCAUGAAUAUUUAAACAUCAACAAUGCACUGAUUUCAUAUGUUAGUGAUUAAUUUGAACAGUAGGUUGAGGCGUGUCGGACUAUAGAUAUUGGUUUGCUCCUUCAUCUUCCAUCAGUUGGAAAGGUAUUUUGCGAGAAGACGGUAGAAAAUGGUAGAUUUAAGACAACUUUUCAUGGGCAUGUUUUAAUGCAAGGAGAGAAAAAGAAGAACUAUUAUUCCAAUGUAGAAAGGAGCCAUGAGAAGAGAUAAUGUGAUAGGGAGUGUUAAAACCAUUCAAUUAAUGGAUACACUACCGAAAACUACCAAACAGCAUACCAGUAAGCAUAUAACGGGAACAACAUUAAAACCUAAACUGAAAGACAAUGGAGUUGUGAGUCGUCCUAGACGAUAUAGUGUUGAUAUCGUAAGCUCAAAGCCUAUUGUAAAUCACAACAAUAAAAAUGGGCAUGAAGGUGCAAGCGACAGACGUUUUACUCAGAGGCGAUUUUCUCUGUGUACUACUAAACUUGAAAGUGACAAGGCAAAGGAAAAUUAUACUUCAAAUAAACAAUCCGAAGUGAGAUCUAUAUUGAAAUCUGGAGUAAGUUCAGUGUGUAGUUCUUCUGUUCAUUCAUCAGAAACGGAAUCAUCAGUAUCGGAAGAGAAACAAUCAUCUGAUGUAAAGUGUUCAUAUAGAUUACCGAAAAGUUCGGGCACAGGAAAACUAAGGAAGUGUGUGUCAUUUAGGGAAGAUGAGAUUAAUGCUGAAAGUAGAACACGAAGUUUUUCCUCGCCUUCUAUGGAUAUGUCUGCAAAUUUCUUGUUAUCCCCAUCACCAGUUUAAGAGUAAUUGUUUUAAUGCAAUUUUAACAUGUUAUGUUUUUAAAAUUCGAAUAUUGGAUUAUACACUACUCGACAGUCAAACCCUCCCUUUUUUUUUAAACUUUUUUACAGAUACCGUUGAACGUUCAUUAUACGAUUACAAAUUAGCAAAUCUAGCUCUAUUUCAUGUCGUUAAUUACAAACCAAAUAAACUCAUUUGAACUUUCCUUUAGUACGAGAAACCAAGAUUACAGGAUAGCUAAUUUACUUUCAAGUGUACAAAAUGUAUAUCUAAACUCGGUGUACUGUUGUAGAUUUCUUUUUUUUCUUUUUAAAUUCAGCCUAGAUCAGAAAGUUCUUACCAAUAAAUGAAGAUUACUUCUUUCCAGCCAAAGGCUUUCUGCAUCAUGUUAUUAAAUUGAUAAUUAUCUAUUGAAUAUCGUUAUUUAAAUUCAAGCUAUACCAAGUCAAUAUAGCAUCAUACAGCUAUUGUAAUGAUCGAAUUUUACCCAUGCCAUGCAAAUCACCAACUUUAAAAAGUACCGGAAGCAUUUUGGAAAUAUUUAAGGGUGGGUGACCAGUGUUAUUGUUGUCAAUCGUCACUGUUGUUCGUUUCAAAAAUUUCUUAGCAAAAUUUACAAAAUGGGGGGUUUUCGAUUCCUAUAUAUAUUAUAUUAAUAUAUAUGUAUUAAAAGAGUGUUAUAAGUGCUAAGAUGGGACAAGAAAAGGACAACUAGCUCGUGGCAAGAUUCUAAAAUACAGUUUGAUGAUAUAUAUGAAAAGGAGAUAACUAAAAUGGAAUAUUUUUACUUUAAGAAUGAGCAUUAAUAUUGGUCCAUAUUUUUUUGGGUAAACUUGAAUCCAAUAUUCGCCAUUUUGAACUAAAGACUAAAAAUAAGACAAAAAGUCGUUGCCGAUUAUUUACUUUGGUAGUUCUACAUGUGGAUUCACCCUUAUUCAUCUUUAUUGAUCCUGUUAGAUAUUUCUCGUGUAAGUUAAAAUUUUACAUUUCAAAUAUUUAUUAUGUACACUGCGAAUCAUUUUUUAAAAACAUUACUGUGUUCUGUUUAAGCGAGUUGGUGCCUUCAUGGUUUUGGUUACUGUAUCAUUAAUGUUUACCUAAUUAUUCUCGUUUUGUUUAUUUAUAUUAUUACAGAAAUAAAAGAAAUGUUGAAGUUGUGAUCAUGGAGCGAGCGUAUGAGCUGUGUAUUAUAUGAUUAAAUGGGAGUAUGCUUACAAAGUCUGCAUGUUCUCAAUUUACUGAGCUAGUGCAUUAUUUUACCAGACAUGCCAAUUUUAUUUAUUUUGUAUAAAAGAAUUAAAGUGCUUACUAUGU